rnacentral:rRNA from 1 species
GAUGAACGCUGGCGGCGUGCCUAAUACAUGCAAGUCGAGCGAACAGACGAGGAGCUUGCUCCUCUGACGUUAGCGGCGGACGGGUGAGUAACACGUGGAUAACCUACCUAUAAGACUGGGAUAACUUCGGGAAACCGGAGCUAAUACCGGAUAAUAUAUUGAACCGCAUGGUUCAAUAGUGAAAGACGGUUUUGCUGUCACUUAUAGAUGGAUCCGCGCCGCAUUAGCUAGUUGGUAAGGUAACGGCUUACCAAGGCAACGAUGCGUAGCCGACCUGAGAGGGUGAUCGGCCACACUGGAACUGAGACACGGUCCAGACUCCUACGGGAGGCAGCAGUAGGGAAUCUUCCGCAAUGGGCGAAAGCCUGACGGAGCAACGCCGCGUGAGUGAUGAAGGUCUUCGGAUCGUAAAACUCUGUUAUUAGGGAAGAACAAAUGUGUAAGUAACUAUGCACGCCUUGACGGCACCUAAUCAGAAAGCCACGGCUAACUACGUG